rnacentral:rRNA from 1 species
UAUUAUUCUGGAAAUAAUAUAACAUUCUUGGUUAGUAUUAGUUAUUUACUUAAAAUCUAAAAAAUUUGGCGGUAAUUUAGUCUGUUCAGAGGAACCUGUUUUUUAAUCGAUAAACCGCGAAGUAUCUUACUUAUUUUUGUAGAGUUUGUAUACCAUCAUUAUCAGGUGAUUUUAAAAGAAAAAAUUACUAGUUAUAAUAUUUUAGAUAAAUUAGAUCAUGGUGCAGCUAAUAAUUAAGUUAAAAUGGGUUACAAUAAAUUAUUGUUUAUUACGAAUAAAUAAAUUAAUUUUAUUUUGAAGGAGGAUUUGAUUGUAUUAAAAGUUUAAUACGCUUAUAGGAUAAAAGCUCUAAAUUAUGUACAUAU